CACAGGUUUGGUCCCAGCCUUCCUAUUAACUCCUAGCAGACUUACACAUGCAAGUAUCCACACCCCAGUGAAAAUGCCCUCUAAGUCGACAAGACCAAGAGGAGCUGGUAUCAAGCACACACCCGUAGCUCAUGACACCUUGCUCAGCCACGCCCCCACGGGAGACAGCAGUGAUAAAAAUUAAGCCAUAAACGAAAGUUUGACUAAGCCAUGUUAGUUAGGGUUGGUAAAUCUCGUGCCAGCCACCGCGGUCAUACGAUUAACCCAAGUUAAUAGGCCCACGGCGUAAAGUGUGUUUAAGCACAACACCAAAUAAAGUUAAAUUCCAAUUAAGCUGUAAAAAGCCAUAAUUGAAAUGAAAAUAAAUGACGAAAGUGACUUUAUAAUAGCUGAAACAUGAUAGCUAAGAUCCAAACUGGGAUUAGAUACCCCACUAUGCUUAGCCCUAAACACAAAUAGUUAUAUAAACAAAACUAUUCGCCAGAGUACUACCGGCAAUAGCUUAAAACUCAAAGGACUUGGCGGUGCUUUAUACCCUUCUAGAGGAGCCUGUUCUAUAAUCGAUAAACCCCGAUAAACCUUACCACCCCUUGCUAAUACAGUCUAUAUACCGCCAUCUUCAGCAAACCCUAAAAAGGAGCAAAAGUAAGCACAAUUAUUUAUACGUAAAAACGUUAGGUCAAGGUGUAACCUAUGGAGUGGAAAGAAAUGGGCUACAUUUUCUAAUUUAAGAAAACUCUUUACGAAAGUUAUUAUGAAACUAAUAUCUAAAGGAGGAUUUAGCAGUAAACUAAGAAUAGAGUGCUUAGUUGAAUUAGGCCAUGAAGCACGCACACACCGCCCGUCACCCUCCUCAAAUAAGUACAAUAUAUUUAAAUAUAUUUGCAUAUAUUAACUAUAUGAGAGGAGAUAAGUCGUAACAAGGUAAGCAUACUGGAAAGUGUGCUUGGACAAU
rnacentral:ncRNA from 1 species